rnacentral:rRNA from 1 species
GAUGAACGCUGGCGGCGUGCUUAACACAUGCAAGUCGAACGAGAAGUGGAGACGGAAACCUUCGGGCGGAAGACUUUACUUCGAGUGGCGGACGGGUGAGUAACGCGUGGGUAACCUGCCUCAUACAGGGGGAUAACAGUUGGAAACGACUGUUAAUACCGCAUAAGACCACAGCACCGCAUGGUGCGGGGGUAAAAACUCCGGUGGUAUGAGAUGGACCCGCGUUCGAUUAGCCAGUUGGCGGGGUAACGGCCCACCAAAGCGACGAUCGAUAGCCGAUCUGAGAGGAUGACCGGCCACAUUGGGACUGAGACACGGCCCAAACUCCUACGGGAGGCAGCAGUGGGGAAUAUUGCUCAAUGGGGGAAACCCUGAUGCAGCGACGCCGCGUGAGUGAAGAAGUAUUUCGGUAUGUAAAGCUCUAUCAGCAGGGAAGAAAAUGACAGUACCUGAGUAAGAAGCCCCGGCUAACUACGUG